rnacentral:rRNA from 1 species
UACGAAGGGGGGCUAGCGUUGUUCGGAAUUACUGGGCGUAAAGCGCACGUAGGCGGAUUGGUCAGUUAGGGGUGAAAUCCCAGGGCUCAACCCUGGAACUGCCUUUAAUACUGCUGAUCUAGAGUUCGAGAGAGGUGAGUGGAAUUCCGAGUGUAGAGGUGAAAUUCGUAGAUAUUCGGAGGAACACCAGUGGCGAAGGCGGCUCACUGGCUCGACACUGACGCUGAGGUGCGAAAGCGUGGGGAGCAAACAGG